UUUAUUUGCAAUCGGCGCUCAAUGUGUUUUCUUAUAUCGGUGGCGUCAAUGUUAGCCUCCCAUCCGACCCGUCUGAAACACGGACCAAGGAGUUCAGUAGGCACGCGAGUCGUUGACGUUUUUCAUUGAACAGUCGAAGGCGAAAUGAAAGUGUUAAUGAAAAUGAACUGUACUUCUUUAUGGAGUGCUGUUCAAUUUUUCAACAUGAUCGUCCUUUUUUGUGCUUAAUUGUGCAAAAUAAUAGAUGUAUGGGGACGCGCAGUGUGGUGCCGUUGAAUAGUCGCACUGUUCUCUCUUUCUCUUCGGGGUUGGAGGAACAAUUGUCGAUCAGUCGGUUUCGGAGCGUGCACACUGGUACCCGAAAGAUGGUGAACUAUGCUUGAGCAGAAUGAAGCCAGAGGAAACUCUGGUGGAAGUUCGUAGCGGUGUUGACGUGCAAAUCACUCGUCUGACUUGAGUGUAGGGGCGAAAGACUAAUCGAACCAUCUAGUUGCUGGUUCCUUCCGAAGUUUCCCUCAGGAUAGCUGGCAUUUGUUUGUAACAAUUUUAUCCGGUAGAGCGAAUGAUUAGAGGUGUUGGGAACGCAAUGUUCUCAGCCUAUUCUCAAACUUCGAAUGGGUAAGCAAGGCGUUUUGCUUUGAUUUUACGAUGAAAUCGCCCAAUUAGAAUGUAUAAAUGCCUAGUGGGC
rnacentral:ncRNA from 1 species